GGUGCUCAUUCUUUUGCGUCCGGCGUCGCAGGCUUUGGGAGAUGAGGCGAGUAGGCCGCAGUUGCCCAUCGCACGCAAUCCGUUGCCAUCCUCUGUCGUUCUCAUCGCGAUUUAUGUUUCGGGUCUGGAUGUCUUACCUCGAGAGCCUUCCUUUCCAGGUAGCAGUGCAAGGAUGCUGGACCAGAUGCCACAAAUGGCUUUGCUUGUCGUAAUCUGGCUUGGAAUGGAAAAAAAGCAAGAGCACUGAUGCCUUUGGGAGAAUAGGAGCAGCCCAAGUACAGAGAAGGUGAAAUGGUCUUGUGCCUAUGAGAUGGAAAGUACCUUUCCCUUGAGGUUUGUAGAGUUCUGUUCAGAACACAGAUACCAUCUGGAGUCCUGUUGAAACAAUCAGGCUAUCAGCAAAGUCUACAAGGAGUGGUUAUACAGAGUGGGAAGAUUCCUGUUCUUCUGAAGGGGAUCUUCAAGUGGAAGAAACAGUUGACAUGUCUUGGAUAAUGUGUCUUCAAAAGCAUUUUGGAACUUGUCAUGCAACAAACUGACAAAAAACAAGAAGUUACUAGCAAAUUUUCUGGGAUCUGCGGAGCCAUGGUUGAAACAGCUACAUGUCCAUACCUGUGUUUUAUUAAAGGAUUUUUGUUCAUUUUCAUGA